rnacentral:rRNA from 1 species
GUACCCUACGGGAGGCAGCAGUGAGGAAUAUUGGACAAUGGGUGGAAGCCUGAUCCAGCCAUCCCGCGUGCAGGAAGACGGCCCUAUGGGUUGUAAACUGCUUUUAUCUGGGGAUAAACCUACUUACGUGUAAGUAGCUGAAGGUACCAGAAGAAUAAGCACCGGCUAACUCCGUGCCAGCAGCCGCGGUAAUACGGAGGGUGCAAGCGUUAUCCGGAUUUAUUGGGUUUAAAGGGUCCGUAGGCGGACUGAUAAGUCAGUGGUGAAAUCCGACAGCUUAACUGUCGAACUGCCAUUGAUACUGUUAGUCUUGAGUAAGGUUGAAGUGGCUGGAAUAAGUAGUGUAGCGGUGAAAUGCAUAGAUAUUACUUAGAACACCAAUUGCGAAGGCAGGUCACUAAGUCUUAACUGACGCUGAUGGACGAAAGCGUGGGGAGCGAACAGGAUUAGAAACCCCUGUAGUCCC